rnacentral:rRNA from 1 species
AUGUGUAUACCUGUCAUAGCUGACACAUAUGAAGACUUGUUGAGAUCCAAUAUUGGUCCUCUGAUCGUUCAUACACCUACUCAAGUUGCUUUUGUGCCACAUAAGGUAACAUCACCUUUCCCAGGAAAGCUGGUGAGGCAGGCAAAUGCAGUCAUGCCUGAAGAGAUUGCAUCAAGUGUCUAUUCUGAUGGUAGGCAUGCUACAAAGAAUGAGCACUUGAGGAUUUCUGGACCUUUGGGGCAAUGUGACGAAUCUGAUUGUGUAGAUUGCCCUUUUGCCUCUAAGAACAAAAUGCAUUUCCAGAGAAGUUUAGCUCCUUUCGGUAAUGAGGGUGAUGGGUGGAAGAAGAUUGGGUCUUCCCUUCCAUACAUUCCAAUUCUAAACCCACAUGCUAAGGCUGUUCGUCGAUGGAACCAGUUUUUUGUAAUAUCAUGCUUGGUUGCCAUUUUCAUUGACCCUCUGUUUUUCUUCCUACCUUUCAUGGACAAGGAUAACAAAUGCAUAGUGUUCAGUCGGUAUUCGAAAGCAUUAAUUGUUGCAAGAACUGUGACUGAUGUCAUUUAUGCUCUUCACAUGCUUCUUCAGUUUAGGAUGGCCUAUGUGGAUCCAGAGUCAAGAAUAGCGGGAGCAGGAGAUUUAGUUGACGAGCCUAAGAAAAUCGCUAUGCGCUAUCUUCGUGGUGCUUUCAUAGCCGACCUAUCUGUUAUGCUUCCAGUUCCUCAGGUGAUGAUAGGACGGGUUAUCCCUAAGUACAUUGGGGUAUCCGGUGCAAACUAUGCGAAGAAUUUGUUGCAUGCCACAAUUCUUGUUCAGUAUGCCCCACGUGUCUUCAGAUUUGUGCAACUACUUGGUGGGCAAUCUGCUAAUGGAUUUAUUUUGGCUGGACAUGUAGUUGGUUCGCUUUGGUACCUCUUUGGAUUACAGAGUGUUAAUUAUUGUCUACAGAAUUCUUGUUCUGCACUUAAUAUAACAUCAUGUGCUCAGUUUAUAGACUGUGGGUAUGGCAUUGGUGGGCUGGACAGAGUAAAGAGGCAGCGGUGGUUCAACGAUUCGAUGUCGCGAAGCUGUUUUGAUACUGCAAAUGGUUUUUUCAAAUAUGGAAUCUAUGAACAAUCUGUGUUGCUAACCACAGAACCUGCUAUUAACCGCUACACAUAUUCGUUAUUUUGGGGGUUUCAGCAAAUAAGUACUUUGGCGGGUAAUCUGGUGCCAACCUAUAAUGUAUGGGAAGUUCUAUUCACAAAGGGUAUCAUUGCCUUGGGGCUGUUCCUUUUUGCGUUACUUGUCGGUAACAUGCAGAUUUUCCUUCAAUCACUUGGAAAAAGGAGAUUGGAAAUGCAACUGAGGAGACAUGAUAUUGAACAAUGCAUGAGCCACAGGCAACUCCCAGAAGAUCUGAGAAGGAGGGUUAGACAUGCAGAAAGGUUUAGUUGGGUGGCUAUGAGAGGAGUGAAUGAAGAAGAGCUUUUGGGCAGCUUACCAGAAGAUAUCCAGAGAGAUAUACGCCACCAUUUUCACAGAUUUCUUAAUAAGAUUCGAUUAUUCGCUUUGAAGGAUUGUGGACUUUGCGACGCUGUCUGUGACAAGUUGAAGCAUAAGUUAUAUGUUAGGGGAAGUGACAUUCUUUCUCAGGAUCAGCUUGUUGAAAAAAUCAUCUUUGUAGUGCGGGGUAAACUAGAAGCAUCAGAGCAGAUGGAAGCAAGUCUCCAUUACAUGAAGGAGCUGUGUGUGGGGAAGAGCUGCUUAUGUGGUGGUUGGAGCAGCAAGCUUCAGGUUUGCAGAUAUUUACCUUAG